UGUACUGCAUUUUGCACUGACUGUACGGGGAGCGAGACCUGCUGCAGAGAGCGCGCCAUUUUGAAAACCAGAGCCCGCAACGGUACGGAGUCAAGUGCUGGAAGAAUCGGUGUGGGUGAGAGAUGGACCGUUCCAUUCUGUCCCACAGGGGUCCUGCAUAGAUCCUCAACUCCCCAUACUGGUGACUUCACCUCUGCAAACGCUACAACCUACCAGAGUUGAUAGGUCUGUUGUGAUGAAGUAUAUAGAGGGCGCUCUUUCGGUCUGACAUCA